UACAGAGGCCUCAAGCGUUGUUCGGAAUUACUGGGCGUAAAGGGAAUGUAGGCGGUAGCGUAAGUCAGAUGUGAAAGCCCUGGGCUUAACCCGGGAAGUGCAUUUGAUACUGCGUUACUGGAGUGCAGGAGAGGAAAGCGGAAUUCCAGGUGUAGGGGUGAAAUCCGUAGAUAUCUGGAGGAAUACCGAUGGCGAAGGCAGCUUUCUGGCCUGUAACUGACGCUGAGAUUCGAAAGCGUGGGUAGCAAACAGG
rnacentral:rRNA from 1 species